UUUAACCAGAAANCACGGCUAACUACGUGCCAGCAGCCGCGGUAAUACGUAAGGUGGNAGCGUCGUCNNGGAUUUAUUGGGCCGUAAAGCGAGCGCAGGCUGGUUUUUUUAAAGUCUGAUGUGAAAGCCUUCGGCUCAACCGAAGAAGUGCAUCGGAAACUGGGAAACUUGAGUGCAGAAGAGGACAGUGGAACUCCAUGUGUAGCGGUGAAAUGCGUAGAUAUAUGGAAGAACACCAGUGGCGAAGGCGGCUGUCUGGUCUGUAACUGACGCUGAGGCUCGAAAGUAUGGGUAGCAAACAGGAUUAGAUACCCUGGUAGUCCAUACCGUAAACGAUGAAUGCUAAGUGUUGGAGGGUUUCCGCCCUUCAGUGCUGCAGCUAACGCAUUAAGCAUUCCGCCUGGGGAGUACGGCCGCAAGGCUGAAACUCAAAGGAAUUGACGGGGGCCCGCACAAGCGGUGGAGCAUGUGGUUUAAUUCGAAGCUACGCGAAGAACCUUACCAGGUCUUGACAUACUAUGCAAAUCUAAGAGAUUAGACGUUCCCUUCGGGGACAUGGAUACAGGUGGUGCAUGGUUGUCGUCAGCUCGUGUCGUGAGAUGUUGGGUUAAGUCCCGCAACGAGCGCAACCCUUAUUAUCAGUUGCCAGCAUUAAGUUGGGCACUCUGGUGAGACUGCCGGUGACAAACCGGAGGAAGGUGGGGAUGACGUCAAAUCAUCAUGCCCCUUAUGACCUGGGCUACACACGUGCUACAAUGGAUGGUACAACGAGUUGCGAACUCGCGAGAGUAAGCUAAUCUCUUAAAGCCAUUCUCAGUUCGGAUUGUAGGCUGCAACUCGCCUACAUGAAGUCGGAAUCGCUAGUAAUCGCGGAUCAGCAUGCCGCGGUGAAUACGUUCCCGGGCCUUGUACACACCGCCCGUCACACCAUGAGAGUUUGUAACACCCAAAGUCGGUGGGGUAACCUUUUAGGAACCAGCCGCCUAAGGUGAC
rnacentral:rRNA from 2 species